rnacentral:lncRNA from 1 species
AUACGAGGAAUUAUAGCAAAUGAACAUAAAUCAUCAGAAUGAGUUCUAAAACCAUGAUUGUCAACAUUUUGUUGGCAUUAUUCGUAUUCAAUGCAAGCUGCAACUUAUAUAUUCCUUAUCCAUAUUACAAUGAAGCACCACCAUCAGUAGUGGUUAACGCAAACCCAGUAAACAAUGCUGUAUCGAAGAGUGAAUCAUCCCUGUACACGUCGCAAACUGCUCACUUGCACGGACCAGGUUACGGUGGCUGGUGAUAAGUAGGUUUUCAGGUAACAAUCGCACUUCACUCUGCAUUCAAUUGAAAAAAAAGUUAUAUAUCUAACUAAAUAAACUAUGUCUAUUACUAAGU